CACGUAGGGGGCAAGCGUUGUCCGGAAUCAUUGGGCGUAAAGAGCUCGUAGGCGGCUCAGUAAGUCGGGUGUGAAACCCUCAGGCUCAACCUGGGGACGCCACCCGAUACUGCUGUGGCUAGAGUCCAGUAGGGGAGUGUGGAAUUCCCGGUGUAGCGGUGAAAUGCGCAGAUAUCAGGAGGAACACCGGUGGCGAAGGCGGGUCUCUGGGCAGUAACUGACGCUGAGGAGCGAAAGCGUGGGGAGCGAACAGG
rnacentral:rRNA from 1 species